rnacentral:rRNA from 1 species
GAUGAACGCUAGCGACAGGCUUAACACAUGCAAGUCGAGGGGCAGCACAGGUAGCAAUACCGGGUGGCGACCGGCGCACGGGUGAGUAACGCGUAUGCAACUUGCCUAUCAGAGGGGGAUAACCCGGCGAAAGUCGGACUAAUACCGCAUGAAGCAGGGAUCCCGCAUGGGAAUAUUUGCUAAAGAUUCAUCGCUGAUAGAUAGGCAUGCGUUCCAUUAGGCAGUUGGCGGGGUAACGGCCCACCAAACCGACGAUGGAUAGGGGUUCUGAGAGGAAGGUCCCCCACAUUGGUACUGAGACACGGACCAAACUCCUACGGGAGGCAGCAGUGAGGAAUAUUGGUCAAUGGCCGAGAGGCUGAACCAGCCAAGUCGCGUGAGGGAUGAAGGUUCUAUGGAUCGUAAACCUCUUUUAUAAGGGAAUAAAGUGCGGGACGUGUCCCGUUUUGUAUGUACCUUAUGAAUAAGGAUCGGCCAACUCCGUGCCAGCAGCCGCGGUAAUACGGAGGAUCCGAGCGUCAUCCGGAUUUAUUGGGUUUAAAGGGUGCGUAGGCGGCCUUUUAAGUCAGCGGUGAAAGUCUGUGGCUCAACCAUAGAAUUGCCGUUGAAACUGGGGGGCUUGAGUAUGUUUGAGGCAGGCGGAAUGCGUGGUGUAGCGGUGAAAUGCAUAGAUAUCACGCAGAACCCCGAUUGCGAAGGCAGCCUGCCAAGCCAUGACUGACGCUGAUGCACGAAAGCGUGGGGAUCAAACAGGAUUAGAUACCCUGGUAGUCCACGCAGUAAACGAUGAUCACUAGCUGUUUGCGAUACACUGUAAGCGGCACAGCGAAAGCGUUAAGUGAUCCACCUGGGGAGUACGCCGGCAACGGUGAAACUCAAAGGAAUUGACGGGGGCCCGCACAAGCGGAGGAACAUGUGGUUUAAUUCGAUGAUACGCGAGGAACCUUACCCGGGUUUGAACGCAUUCGGACCGAGGUGGAAACACCUUUUCUAGCAAUAGCCGUUUGCGAGGUGCUGCAUGGUUGUCGUCAGCUCGUGCCGUGAGGUGUCGGCUUAAGUGCCAUAACGAGCGCAACCCUUGCCACUAGUUACUAACAGGUAAAGCUGAGGACUCUGGUGGGACUGCCAGCGUAAGCUGCGAGGAAGGCGGGGAUGACGUCAAAUCAGCACGGCCCUUACAUCCGGGGCGACACACGUGUUACAAUGGCGUGGACAAAGGGAAGCCACCUGGCGACAGGGAGCGAAUCCCCAAACCACGUCUCAGUUCGGAUCGGAGUCUGCAACCCGACUCCGUGAAGCUGGAUUCGCUAGUAAUCGCGCAUCAGCCAUGGCGCGGUGAAUACGUUCCCGGGCCU